UCAGGACGAACGCUGGCGGCGUGCCUAAUACAUGCAAGUCGAACGGUCUUUUCUAUGGAAGCUUGCUUCCACUGAGAAGAUAGUGGCGAACGGGUGAGUAACACGUGGGUAACCUGCCCAUAAGAGGGGGAUAACAUCCGGAAACGGGUGCUAAUACCGCAUAGUUUUCUUGAUCGCAUGAUUGAGAAAGGAAAGACGGCCUUUGCGCUGUCGCUUAUGGAUGGACCCGCGGCGUAUUAGUUAGUUGGUGAGGUAACGGCUCACCAAGACGAUGAUACGUAGCCGACCUGAGAGGGUGAUCGGCCACAUUGGGACUGAGACACGGCCCAAACUCCUACGGGAGGCAGCAGUAGGGAAUCUUCCGCAAUGGACGAAAGUCUGACGGAGCAACGCCGCGUGAGUGAAGAAGGUUUUCGGAUCGUAAAACUCUGUUGUCAGAGAAGAACAAGUUGGAGAGUAACUGCUCCAGCCUUGACGGUAUCUGACCAGAAAGCCACGGCUAACUACGUGCCAGCAGCCGCGGCAAUACGUAGGUGGCAAGCGUUGUCCGGAUUUAUUGGGCGUAAAGCGAGCGCAGGCGGUUCCUUAAGUCUGAUGUGAAAGCCCACGGCUCAACCGUGGAAGGUCAUUGGAAACUGGGGAACUUGAGUGCAGAAGAGGAGAGUGGAAUUCCAUGUGUAGCGGUGAAAUGCGUAGAUAUAUGGAGGAACACCAGUGGCGAAGGCGACUCUCUGGUCUGUAACUGACGCUGAGGCUCGAAAGCGUGGGGAGCAAACAGGAUUAGAUACCCUGGUAGUCCACGCCGUAAACGAUGAGUGCUAAGUGUUGGAGGGUUUCCACCCUUCAGUGCUGCAGCUAACGCAUUAAGCACUCCGCCUGGGGAGUACGGCCG
rnacentral:rRNA from 1 species